rnacentral:tRNA from 1 species
GCGGUGGUGGCGAAAUGGUAGACGCAGCGGACUCAAAAUCCGCCGGUGGUGACACCGUGGGGGUUCGAGUCCCCCCCGCCGUA